rnacentral:rRNA from 1 species
UACGUAGGUGACCAGCGUUGUCCGGAUUUACUGGGCGUAAAGAGCGCGCAGGCGGUCGUUCAAGUCGAGUGUGAAAGCCCCCGGCUCAACUGGGGAGGGUCACUCGAUACUGAUCGACUGGAAGGCAGGAGAGGGAAGCGGAAUUCCCGGUGUAGUGGUGAAAUGCGUAGAUAUCGGGAGGAACACCAGUGGCGAAGGCGGCUUCCUGGCCUGUUCUUGACGCUGAGGCGCGAAAGCUAGGGGAGCGAAUGGG